UAUGUUGUUGACUAAUAGGUAAGUCGUAAAUUUUUGGUAUUUAUUAUUAAGUGUUCGAAUCACUUCAACAUAA
rnacentral:tRNA from 1 species